GAUGCACCCGCCUUGGCCUCCCAAAGUGCUGGGAUUACAGGCGUGAGCCACCACGCCCAGCCACAUUCUCCCCUUUUGCCUUUUACUAAUUGAACCCUUCUGAAUUUCAGUUGGGCACUUAGCUAAAGACUACAUUUCCCAGGCUCCCUUGCAGCUCAACCUGGUCACAUGAUGAGGUUCUGACCAGUGGGCAUGAGAUGUGCAGCGGGCAACAUCUGGAUAGAUCUUUGUCUUCUCAGGAAGUUGGGUGACCCUCAGACUCUCUCCUUCCUGGCUGCCUGGAACGGGACUGUGAUAGUCAGGUGAGGACAGUUUACUUAGAGCAAAGCAGAGCCUUGCAUAGAAGGAGCCAGGUCCCUGGUGACCUGGGGCAGAGCUGUCCUACCCACUGGACGGUUUACCAGCUUCACUCAUUUGUUUGUGAGAAACAAAAAAAACUUUCUGUCUUGGGUGAGCUACCAUGACUUGGCUUCCAUUUAAGAAAUAGGAUCCAUAUCCUAAUACAGGAGGCCUUUGUAAACUGGGUCAGUCAGAAUCUGUGUUUGGCUGCUGACAGAGCACUGGCCACAGCAGGAGGUGGGCAGCCCCGGGCUAGUGUGGCCAGGAACCCAGGGGGACUCCUUCUAUCUUGCUUUUUUUUUUUUUUGCCAUCCUUAGUGGAUAGGUUUCAUCCUCCAGGUCACAGAAUGGCUGCUGAAGCACCAGCCCUCGCAUUCCCCUUUUAUUCAGGAAUAAGGGGAAGGGCGAGAGGCAAAGGUGGGCCUCCUCUCAGCUUUUAGAGAUAGCCCAGAAGCCUCUUUCACUGAUUUCUGCUUUCGUCUCUCUGGCUACCCCUAUCUUCAAAGAGUUCUGUUGCUAAAGCAGAAAGGACAGUAUGUCUUGAGAGGCAACGUGGAAGCCUUGCACAGAGGGGAAAAUUCACAAAAGAGAAUGCUGUUAGCUUUGGCCACAAAGCACCAAAACCAGGACUUGUAAAGCCUUUCAGUGGCACCAGUGCCCAGGUUCUUCCCCAGCCCUGGGGGCUGACUCCCCAUCUCCCCUGAGCUCAGACACAGGGGUGGGGUGCAUCCUGUCCCCCACACCCAGGCCCCGGGCAUGCAGCCUCCUGUGAGGCAGCGUGGUGCAGAGCAGGGAGCCCGGGCAUUGGAAUCAGACCAACCUGGAGGAACUCCCAGCACAGAGGACUGGGGUUCCCUGGCUGUGUGGCUUUGGGCAAGGCUCCCAACCUCUCUGAUCCACCACUUCCUCAUCGGUCACAGAUGCUCAGAAAACAAUAGCCAAGGUCCUUACAGCUGCUCCGCGACAAAGUGCAGUGGGGCAGAUGUGGGGCGUGAAGGCCUGGGUUUCAGGCGGCUCCAGCGGGUUCCACGCCUCCCUGCAGCCGCAUUCACUGGAUGUCUGCCUUGCUGGCUGAGCCCAUCUGUUAGUUUUCUUACAAAUUGCCACUCAGUUGGCUUCACCCAAGGCCUGUUACCCAAAAUAACGUGAGUGAUUGCCCAGCGAAUGCAGGGUCAAUACUCAUCACGCUCUCCUUGACCACAGCCCCUCGGAGCCAGGGCUGGGGCUUGGAGGAGUCAGGAGAGGUGGAGACCCUGGAUUGCGCUCCCACCGCAGUGUCUGGGGACGAGAGGGGCUGCCUGCCUGGAAACCAGCUUGAGCCCUUUAUGGUUUCCUGUUGGUGCCUCCUUGACACAGGGCACAGGUUCAAGGCCCUCCCGUCUCUACCUGGAGCUGUCUCCAGCCUGCUGCCCACCCUCGGGGCAUGAGCGGAGGAACAUGUGUCCCCACAGUGCCCAGGCCUGGGCUGCUGGUGGGAAUGAUGGUCUUUCCAGGACAGCAGGGAGGCCCACCCCACUGGGAAGCAGGAGGGAGAGUCCUUGGACUUGGGGGUUGGAGUUCAGGCUCUUGUUUUAUGAUGGCGAAAUGGAGGCCCCGAGAGGCCCAGAGACUAACCCAUAGGCCCGUGGCAGAUUCGUGCCUGAGAUGACCGUGGGUCCCAGGCCUCCUCUUUCCCUUCCAGGGCAUCCUGGCCUGAGGCCCACGGAUCCUUUGGUGAUCCAUGAGUGGGCCUCAGUGGGUCUUGUAUCCAGCUGAUGUGUCUGUGCUUUCUACAGAGGGCCCUUGGAUGGCAUCAGAGCUUACAGGGUGCCCCGACCGGUGAUGAACCAUGAGAGACCUUCUAGCAGUACCGUGCUGGCCGCCUUCGCUUCUCAGCUGCCCCUCGGGGCAUGUUGUGCCCCACCGGGAGCCAUGGAGGGAAGCUGUGGGAAUGUCCACCUCUGCGUCCUGUCCUGUCAAGGUCCUGGGUCUCUCCCAAGCUGGAUCUAGGUGGUCCCUGGGCGCAGGCUGUGGGAAAGAAAGCCUGGGAUGGGAGUGGGGGCCAUUCACAGGUCUUUUGUUCUGCCACGAAGACCCGAACCCUCUUCAGAUCCCAGCCUGUCCUUCCCGUGUCGUAAGGGCCCCAAACCAAAGGGGGCCCUCAGGCUUGGGUCAGACACACAGGGUCUGGUCUCCAUCCUCAGCAGCGAUGGCUCCUUGGGCAGCUGGCUCAGGUACUCCAAGCCUCUGUUUUCGUGUUUGCAAAUGGGAAUGCCGUUCAGAAUUCCAGAAGCCUGGAGAGUAUCUGCCAGGGCCCCGCGCUAGGCACAGGGGCCCAGAAGUGGAUUCCAGGGUCCCUGCCUGGGGGGGGGCCCAGUCCGGCCAAGGGAACAGCUGUGUCUGGAGAAGCAGUGUACUCUCUGGGGCACCCAGCACAUGAGGGCACCGUCCUGGAGACCAGAAUUCUGGACAGCGCUGGCGGCAACAGUCCCAUCCUCUGAGGAGCCUGGGUCCAGCAGGAGCGAUGCCAGAUCCAGACCAGGAGCGGAGACCGAGUUGCAGGGUUGGUUCUGGGGACCACAAGUCUGAGCCCCAGGCGUCAGGAGGGCUGUGCCCCUCCAGAGGCUCUAGAGGAGAACCCAUCCUGACCCCUCCAGCUUCUGAUGGUCGCCAGCAGUCUGGGGCUGGAGGCCACAGGGUGCCAGCCGAGUGCCCACCUUCUCCUUGGCUUCACACUGCCCUCCCUCUAAUGGGAAGAUCGAGGCUCUGAGAGAAGACAUCCACGAUGGAGCAGCGGGCAGGGGGAGGAGGCCCACAUGUCUCAGCCGGGUCUCCACCCCCACAAUGCUGCACUCUGUUCAGAGAGAAGGAAUUGCUCCUGCCAUAACAUGAGCUGGACAGGAGACCCUCUGCUGGAUACAGCCCACCUUUUCACAGAGGGAAUAUUUUUCUCUUCGUAGUUGGAAGGGAACCCCUAGCUGGCACCCUGCCCUCAGGGGGUGCCUGGCAGUGGCCACUGAUGAAAACAUGGGCUAAAAAGCACUAAAACAACAACAUGCUGGAGAUCAGGGGAAGGGCCAAUUAUUUUCAAUCAGCAGAUCCAGGAAGACUGCCUGUAGGAGGAGACAUUGGAACUGAGCAUGAAGGAUGGGCCUAGAGACCAGGGCACACAGAAGGUUACACCUCAGCCUGUGCAGCGCAGGGAGGGGCAGGUGACCGGCACUGAUAAAUUCAAAGUGAACAGAAGUGACAG